rnacentral:snRNA from 1 species
GAUCUGGGUAUGGUAACUGUCACUCCAUUGAUCAUUGUGUUUUCUUUGGCUGAUUUAGCUGGCUAUGUAGGUGACCCCUUCCU